UACGGAGGGUGCGAGCGUUAAUCGGAAUUACUGGGCGUAAAGCGCUCGUAGGUAGUGUGUCAAGUCAAGGGUGAAAUCCCCGUGCUCAACAUGGGAACUGCCUUUGAAACUGGUAUACUUGAGUGUGUGAGAGGAUAGUGGAAUUCCAGGUGUAGGAGUGAAAUCCGUAGAUAUUUGGAGGAACAUCAGUGGCGAAGGCGACUAUCUGGCACAUAACUGACACUGAGGAGCGAAAGCGUGGGUAGCAAACAGG
rnacentral:rRNA from 1 species